rnacentral:tRNA from 2 species
AGGCUGAUAGCUCAGUGGAUAAGAGCAUAUAGUUCCGAACUAUAAGGUCAAGGGUUCAAAUCCCUUUCUGCCUA